AUGCGGCAGGGGUGGGAUCGGGCGAAAAACAGUGCCGCCACUCCUCUCCCCUCCAGCGUCGCUCAUCUCUGCCUCCUCCCGCGCGCCCUCCCCCUCGCCGCCGCCACGACCUCUCCCGCCGCUCAUAUCCACCUCCUCCCGCUUGCCCUUUCGCUUCCCUUGCCGCCGCCACGACCCAUAUCCUCUGAGCAUGACGCCUCCUCUUCCCACUCCUGCCCCGCCUUCGUCCUAGCGGACACCUCCUCCUCUCCUCUCCCUUGCCGCCUUCCCACCUCUCCUUGUCUCCUCGCGGCGGAAGGGAUAGACGCCGGCCCCCUCGCGGCGGCCACCUCUCUUCGUCUCCUCCCAGGUUCUCGAUCUGGAGUGGAAGGGAGCCUUGGCUCGUUCUUAUCUCUGUCAGGCAGGUGA
rnacentral:rRNA from 1 species